AACCUAAAGGCGAAAUGAAAGUGAAGGUCCGCCUCGCGCGGACCUAGGGAGGAUGGGCCCGCCCACGGGGGGCCCCGCACUCCCGGGGCGUCUCGUUCUCAUCGCGAGAGGAGGCGCACCCAGAGCGUACACGCUGGGACCCGAAAGAUGGUGAACUAUGCCUGGUCAGGACGAAGUCAGGGGAAACCCUGAUGGAGGUCCGUAGCGAUUCUGACGUGCAAAUCGAUCGUCGGAACUGGGUAUAGGGGCGAAAGACUAAUCGAACCAUCUAGUAGCUGGUUCCCUCCGAAGUUUCCCUCAGGAUAGCUGGCGCUCGCCGCGCGCGAGUCUCAUCCGGUAAAGCGAAUGAUUAGAGGCAUUGGGGUCGAAACGGCCUCAACCUAUUCUCAAACUUUAAAUGGGUGAGAUCUCCGGCUUGCUCGAACACGUGAAGCCGCGAGAUUUCGGAUCAGA
rnacentral:rRNA from 1 species